UGGGGGAUAUUGCACAAUGGGCGAAAGCCUGAUGCAGCGACGCCGCGUGGGGGAUGAAGGCCUUCGGGUUGUAAACUUCUUUUGCUCUGAACAAGGCGCACCAUGGGGUGUGUUGAGUGUAGGGGUUGAUUAGCGCCAGCUAACUACGUGCCAGCAGCCGCGGUAAUACGUAGGGCGCGAGCGUUGUCCGGAAUUAUUGGGCGUAAAGGGCUUGUAGGUGGCUGGUUGCGUCUGUCGUGAAAGCUCAUGGCUUAACUGUGGGUUUGCGGUGGGUACGGGCUGGCUUGAGUGCAGUAGGGGAGGCUGGAAUUCCUGGUGUAGCGGUGGAAUGCGCAGAUAUCAGGAGGAAUACCGGUGGCGAAGGCGGGUCUCUGGGCUGUUACUGACACUGAGGAGCGAAAGCAUGGGGAGCGAACAGG
rnacentral:rRNA from 1 species